GACGAACGCUGGCGGCGUGCUUAACACAUGCAAGUCGAACGGUGAAGCUCCAGCUUGCUGGAGUGGAUCAGUGGCGAACGGGUGAGUAACACGUGAGCAACCUGCCCCAGACUCUGGAAUAAGCGCUGGAAACGGCGUCUAAUACUGGAUACGAGAUCAAGCCGCAUGGUUAUGGUCUGGAAAGUUUUUCGGUUUGGGAUGGGCUCGCGGCCUAUCAGCUUGUUGGUGAGGUAAUGGCUCACCAAGGCGACGACGGGUAGCCGGCCUGAGAGGGCGACCGGCCACACUGGGACUGAGACACGGCCCAGACUCCUACGGGAGGCAGCAGUGGGGAAUAUUGCACAAUGGGCGGAAGCCUGAUGCAGCAACGCCGCGUGCGGGAUGACGGCCUUCGGGUUGUAAACCGCUUUCGCCUGUGACGAAGCGUGAGUGACGGUAAUGGGUAAAGAAGCACCGGCUAACUACGUG
rnacentral:rRNA from 1 species